UGGGGGAUAUUGCACAAUGGGCGAAAGCCUGAUGCAGCGACGCCGCGUGGGGGAUGAAGGCUUUCGGGUUGUAAACCUCUUUCGCUAUCGAACAAGGCCCGCUUAGGGUGGGUUGAGGGUAGGUGGAGAAGAAGCGCCGGCUAACUACGUGCCAGCAGCCGCGGUAAUACGUAGGGCGCGAGCGUUGUCCGGAAUUAUUGGGCGUAAAGGGCUUGUAGGCGGCUUGUUGCGCCUGCUGUGAAAACGCGGGGCUUAACUUCGCGCGUGCAGUGGGUACGGGCAGGCUUGAGUGUGGUAGGGGUGACUGGACUUCCAGGUGUAGCGGUGGAAUGCGCAGAUAUCUGGAGGAACACCGAUGGCGAAGGCAGGUCACUGGGCCAUUACUGACGCUGAGGAGCGAAAGCAUGGGUAGCGAACAGG
rnacentral:rRNA from 2 species